CUUUAGCCGCAAGACCGCCAAGAGCUUGCGACGCAUGUUCCUCCCGGGCUUGAAGCCCUGGUUGAAGCUCCCAAGGGAGAAGUUCUCGUCCGUGAGACGGACCUGCUGUCUCCUUAAACGUUCUCUGAGAUCAACCUUAACGACAGAACAAGAGUUCUUCCUGGCGACACGACAUCCCUGUUUGCGGUGCUGUGUUGCCCACAAGCGCCUGAAGACAGACAGUGCCUCUCGGCCUCGCCUCGGGGUGAGUUUCUGGAAGUGGAACUGCUGGGACACGCAGGACUGCUGAAGAAGGCAGGGCAGGUUUCUGGUUCCAAGAGCAGCUGUCGGGGGCGCCUCCGCCCGGCCACCCUGACCGCGCUCCCCACGGCCGGCGGGCAGAGGCUCCUGCGCUCAGGCCUGCGCCCGCGACCGUCAGCCUGUCACAGUCUCUGGCUUGCUCAGGACCGCGUCCGACUUGUGCAGAAGCUCCGUGCAUGGAGCGGGGUCUGGAGCCGGGCUGGAUCCUGCUGCCCGUGGGCCCCUGCCCCUGCCUUAGUGCUCCGUCUGCCCCGGGAUGAGCUGGAGCCGGGCUGGAUCCUGCUGCCGUGGGCCCCCCGCCCCGUCUGCCCUGGGAUGAGCUUUGAGACCAAUGCCAGGACGACAGUGGGUGGCACCAGCGGUGCCCACCGGGACGGGGACCGGCUCUCCCGCGUCAGGACCAAGGCCUCCUUUCUGGCCGACUGCCCGCGACACGCGACCCGCCAGCACGACCACUUCUCUGAGUCCUUUUGUUCGUUUCCGUCGUCACAUUGGUUUCCGCGUUGAAUGCCUUUCCCACCGGGCGUUUCUCCCGCUUGCGCUCUGAGGCUCUUCUUUCCGGCUUCUCUGUCUUCGCGGCCUCGCAGGUGCUUGGCCGUGUGCUCGAGAAGCCCUCGCGGGGUUCUGAGGGUCACCCCCAACUCCACGGCUGAACUUGUAGCUUCUGCGAACAGGCAUCUGCCAAAGCGGUGGCCCUGGAGCCUGGAAGGUUCAGGCAUCGGCACCACGGCCGACUCCCAACGCCCACUUGUUCUGGGCUACGGCCGGCGCUACGGCCCUUCUCGGCUCCACCCGUGGCUCGGUGACGCCCACUGAGGCUGUGCUGGGCUGGAACGGGCGCCUGCGCCCAAUGGUCACAGCAACAGGCGGGCGGGCAGUUCACGACGGACUGGAGUGGAGUGGUUGGUGCAGGGACAUGCGAGGGGUGGUGUGGGCACUGCACACGGAGAGCCUGCGGCCCCCACCCCGGGAGCAGACCCAGCCAGCCCCGAGGGUUCCAGCCUGAGCAGCAGGGUCACAGCCCAGGCUGGGGACACGCGAUGUCCACACGGCCUGGACACCGGCAUCUUGUACCCAUCAGCAGACAGAUUCCUGCACCCACGCCUGUCUCAGGUCCCUCUGUAUCUGGGCCAAGUCUGAGCCGGGCUGCGCUCUCAGGCUGGGGGAGGUGGGGACAGGCUGUCAGGGGCUGAACUGGGCCCCCAAGCCCACAUGCUGAAGCACUGACCCUCGUGGCCGCGUGGGCACAAGGCCUUUAAGAUGGUGAUUAAGUGAAAUAAAGUCAUAAGGGUGGGGCCCCCAUGCAACGAGACGAGAGC